GCUCCUGUGGCGCAAUUGGUCAGUGCGCGGUACUUAUACAGCAGUACAGGUGAAGCAAGGUUGUGAGUUCGAGCCUCACCUGGAGCA